rnacentral:rRNA from 1 species
GACGAACGCUGGCGGCGUGCUUAACACAUGCCAGUCGAACGGAAAGGCCCUGCUUUUGUGGGGUGCUCGAGUGGCGAACGGGUGAGUAACACGUGAGUAACCUGCCCUUGACUUUGGGAUAACUUCAGGAAACUGGGGCUAAUACCGGAUAGGAGCUCCUGCUGCAUGGUGGGGGUUGGGUAGUUUCGGCGGUUGGGGAUGGACUCGCGGCUUAUCAGCUUGUUGGUGGGGUAGUGGCUUACCAAGGCUUUGACGGGUAGCCGGCCUGAGAGGGUGACCGGCCACAUUGGGACUGAGAUACGGCCCAGACUCCUACGGGAGGCAGCAGUGGGGAAUAUUGCACAAUGGGCGGAAGCCUGAUGCAGCAACGCCGCGUGCGGGAUGACGGCCUUCGGGUUGUAAACCGCUUUCGCCUGUGACGAAGCGUGAGUGACGGUAAUGGGUAAAGAAGCACCGGCUAACUACGUG